GAGAGAGAGAGAGAGAGAGAGACCUGGGAUUGUGUUUAUCGAAUGUGUUCUGUUUCAGUUAUCCUUUUACUCUGUGAUCCUUCAACCUUCUUUUACUCUGUUCUCUGCAACCUCGUUGAGAGAGAGAGAGAGAGAGAGAGAGAGAGAGAGAGAGAGACCAGAGUUUUUAUAUGUAUAUGUGCGUAGGCAUUUAUGAAAGUUGUAACUCUUCGCCGAUAAAGCGGUGCGCCUCUUUGUAGGAGGCACAUGACUCUUGAAAUUGCCCGCGCUCUUUCUCAGUGUCUCUGUUGUUGUGGACGUCCUAUAUGUAGACAAACAUUUAUGAUUUUUCAACUUCACAUAUACUCCCCGGCAAGCAAUCUUCUCUUACAAAACCCAUUCUCAGUUUAGGAAACAAUCUAAUGCUCAAGCACACGUACAAGAAGGGGACACAACCCGAAACCUCUAGCCCUCCCUUCAUCCAGUUCCCAUUACUACAAGAAACAUCUCUGGACUGCCCAGGUUUCUGCUGCCAACAAUAUUUGCAUAGGCAUACCUAAAUGAGCGGUAACAUCUUCGUUCCUGCUGGCACAUAUGCUGUUUUGUUUGGAAGAGCUUAUUACACGCAUUUCUCUGGCCUUGCAAGUUUCACAAUGCAUUCUUCAUGAUUGCCAGGAUUAAUGCUCAAGCAAUCAUUAGCAUGAUGCCAACGACAGUACUGCUCAAGUAGAUUGACAUUCUGGAUCAUAAUUUUGGGUGUUGUGUGCACAUUCGAGUCAGAAAGCGAAAAAAAUGUAUUGCAGAAUCUGUUUUUGAAUGGAUGCUGUAAUGGAGCUGCACACGAGGUGUCAAGGACUUGUGGGAUGGGUGUUAGGCUUGGGUUUCUACUCCCUAUUUCCGUGCAAACAUCUUAGAUCUCUGCAAGCAGUAGAUUUUGAAGAGCCUAUUGUAUCAUCCCCUUCUCAUAAUGUCUCAAU